AUACUUACCUGGACCCGGAAUGGCGCAGUUCACGAUUUGCCCAUCCCCAUCGGAGUGGUCCCAUUGCACUUCCGGGAUUAUGAAGGUGGCCUCUUCGGUCAAAAAGAUCGGGGUAGGGGGUCAGAAUUUUUGAUAGUUGGGGGACUGCGUUCGCGCUAUCCCCUU